CUAAGGAUGGACAAACCUGCUUCUCCUACGGAUGACAACACUCCGGAAUAUAAGGCUGUUCAUGAGAAGUGGGAGCGUUCAAUCGCAUGGGUUUGAUGAUCGUUAAGGACACCAUUCCAAAAACCUGUAGAGGUGGUGAGGAGGACAAUAACCUCAAAAAAUUCUUGCCGAAAUGGAUUGGCGCUUCACAAGAAGCGAUAAGGCGGAAAAAAGCAUGCUUUUGCAUCGCUUUAGUACGAUGAGGUACCAUGGAAAUGGAAAAAUAAGGGAGUAGAUUAUGGAAAUGUCCAACAUUGUUUCAAAACUCAAGGCACUUAAGACCGAGCUUCCAGCUAAAUUGCUCAUAUACCUUGUCUUGAACUCUCUUCCUCCUCAGUUCAGUCAGCUGAAAUUAAGUUAUAACACACAGAAGAAGAAAUGGUCUCUUAACGAGCUCAUUGCGUAUUGUGUGCAAUAGGAAGAGAGAAUGAAAGAAAAGAGGAUUGAAAGUGCUCAUAUGGUUUACACCUCUAAGGGACAUGGCAAAAGAAAAAAAUUUGAUCCUGUUAAGGAUGAUGCUCCUAAGGGUCCUAUCCAAAAGAAACAUGCUAAGGUUGAAGAUACAUGUUUCUUUUGUAGGAAGGGUGUACACAUAAAGAAGGACUGCCCUAAGUAUCACGCUUGGCGUGCUAAGAAAGGUAUGUUCCUUGCUUUGGUCUGUUCGGAAACAAACUUAGUUGAAGUACCUAGAAACACUUGGUGGUUAGACUCCGGUGCUACCACUGACAUCAGUAUUUAGCUUCAGGGUUGCCUGAGCUACCGAACCCGACUGAUGCUGAAAGACGCAUUCAUGUGGAUAAUGGGAGUCCAGUGCAUGUGGAGGCAAUCACACAUUUUAGACUGUAUUUUGUUUCUGGUCAUUUUCUUGAUUUGAAAGACACUUUUGUUGUACCGUCUUUUAGACGUAAUUUGGUAUCUGGCCCUUGGUUAGACAACUCUGGUAAUUCUUGUUUAACUGAGAAAGACGCCUGUAAAAUUUUGAAAAAUCACAGUCUUUAUAUGCUUGAAAUUUUAAACUCUAAGGAUGAAAGUUUAAGUGUUGAAUCAAGAGGUACUAAACGAAAGUUUGAGGAUGCAAAUUCAGGAAUUCUUUGGCACCAACGCCUAUGUCACAUCUCUAGAAAUAGAGUUGAGCAUCUUGUUUCAGAAGGUAUAUUGAGUUCCGUAAAGUUCACGGAUUGUGAUAUAUGUGUGGAUUGCAUUAAAAGAAAACAGACCAAGCAUAAAAAAUUAGGUGCGUAUAGAGCUACGGCAAUCCUUGAGUUGAUACAUACAGACAUUUGUGGACCAUUCCUUACCGCUUCAUGGAACGGUCAACGAUACUUUAUAUCAUUCAUUGACGAUUAUUCUCGAUAUGCAUACCUAUUUCUUAUUCAUGAGAAAUCAGAAUCUCUGGACGUGAUGAAAUUUUUUUUAAAUUGAGGUUGAGAACCAACUCGGCCGAAGGAUAAAGUCUAUCAGAUCUGAUCGUGGUGGUGAAUAUUAUGGUCGGUAUGAUGGUUCAGGUGAACAACGUCCGUGACCGUUUGCCAGAUACCUAGAGGUGUGUGGUAUUGUGCUUCAGUACACCAUGCCAGGAUCUCCUAGCAUAAAUGGUGUGUCUAAGAGAAGGAAUAACACUCUUAAGAACAUGGUGAAGAGUAUGAUUAGUCAUUCCUCCUUACCUGAAUCACUCUGGGGAGAGGCACUAAAGACUGCAGCAUACAUUCCUAAUAAGGUACCAACUAAAGCAACUGCUAAAACCCCUUAUGAGCUUUGGACUGGUCGUAAGCCUAGUCUAAUACACCUUCAAAUAUGGGGAUGUUCAGCUGAGGAAAUGCCUUAUAAGCCGUAUGAAAAUAAACUAUAAGGUUGUUUUAGUUUCAAAAUUCUUUUUUUAAUAAAGGAUUUGAGGUUGUUUUAAUUUCAAAAUUUUGAACUUAAAUUUUUUUUUUAUAUUCCAAAUAACUUCAUUAAUAAAUACAUUAGGAAUAUUUAAACAAGUAUAUAAUUAAAAUUGGUUUAAAUAUAUUAAUAUUUUGAUUUAAAAACGUAUAUAUAUUAUAUACUUUGUAUGACAUAUGCAUGAUUUAGUAUCAGAUUAUAAAUUUUCAUUAUAAUAUAUGAAAACAUGAUUCUUAUUAAUACAAAUCUGACAUAGUAUAGGAAUACAACAGCAAAAUUAUACAUUAAUGUUUUUCCAGAAAAUAUAUACGUUAAUGGAAUACGUAAAUAUGUGCUUACUCAUGUUUGCAUACCUACACAUAGGAGAAGCGUGCAUAUCAUCCAUUGUCAAUGAAGAUACACUAGGUGCAUAGUUUUAAUUAAUGGCCCACUAUAGUAUGUGAUGCAACCAUGGUUGAGCCAGAUGACUAUGAAACAAAGGAUAAGUCGUGCAUAUCAUCCAUUGUGUAGAAGAAGCCGUGCAUAUCAUCCAUUGUCAAUGAAGAUACGCUAUGUGCAUAGUUUUAAUUAAUGGCCCACUAUAGUAUGUGAUGCAACUAGCUAUGGUUGAACCAGAUGACUAUGAAACAAAGGAUAAGUCUGGAUGGCUGAAUGCAAAGCUUGAAGAUGAACCAGAGGCUGGAUUGGAGCAUGCUGGGCUUAUUUCUCACUCAAGUGACAAUGAAGAACAUGUCAAACAAGUUGGAAAAGAUGUGAUCAGACUCAUGGAUGACUUAGGCCUCUUUCUCAGCCUAAAAGAAGAUCAAUAUCCAAGUAGAGGAUCCAUUCUCUCUUUCUGAAUGGACAGCCACGAAAUUCAAGUCAAGAAGUUAGCCACAAAAAUUAUUAUUGAGUUUUCAAGAGAGUUUUAGUUUUAAUUAAGUUUUUUUCUUAUUUCUGCAAUUUAGGACUUUUCGUUUUCGUUCUUCUUCUCUACUUAAACUCUCUUUUAUUUCAGAACAAAACAUUCACCUUUUUUUAAAAAGAAUUUCUCCAAAUUUGUGAAUCCUUUGUUCAUCUUUGAACAUCGAUUGCUAGGAGUUCAUUCUCUGCAAGCAAAACUUGUCUUUGAUCGCUAGAGUUCAUUCUCUUGAUCUUAGACACAUCUACACAAGUUCUAAUCAUUCCAUAGAUCAGAUCUGAAGAUCAUCCCAUCAAACCACCUAUCAUCAACAAAAUCACCCAUAUCUCUCUCAAAUCAUCAGAUCAUCCUUCAAAAAAAUCAGGGACAAAAGGAUCUCCUUAUCAGGGAUUCAUCAAGUGAUAUCAGAGCAGAUCUGAAGGCUCUUGAUCUAGGAGGGCCAACCAGAUUAAGAAAAAAAAGUUAAAGAGGAAUUCAAUUUGGCUGAAGAGAAAACCAGCCGGCUGAAGAGAAAUCCAGCCCUGGUGGUAAUGCCUCUUGCAAACGCAAAUCUUGCAAUCUGUUUAUCUCUUUCUUCUGUUUUGGGGUUGAGGUCUGUUCUCUGAAGCUUGAUAUUUGUUUGUUUCUGAGCUACUGGAUUCACGGAGAAAAGUCAGAAAAAAAUCACAGAAAAAUCAGAGAGAAACAAAAGAGAAAAGUGAGGCUUAGGCUAUAUGUUAUUGUGCUAAUUUUUCUUGUUGAGAUUGUAACAGGUAACCAUGGCUGGAGAUGUCAGUAAAAGAAAGGAGGCACCAACUGUGAAAUUAAAUUAAAUUUCAGAUGGAAGAAAUGAUAUCUGAAAUCAUGAGUAGAAUGAAAAAGUCUGAUCUUUUACAAAAGAAACAUGCUGAUGAUUUCUUUGAUAAUGUUUCUCAGGUUCAGAAGGAAGCUAAGAUCAAAAGGAGGAGCCAUGACGUAUCCAGUGUUUCCAGACGUCCUGAGAGAAACCCACAGCCUGACCAAUUCAGUUCCUCCACCAAGAGUUUGCUAGAAAAGAGACAGUACUUGUUAAGUAAAGAAAAAUCGGGUUUUAACAAAUCUGAUUUGUUGCAGGAAAGGUCACGACCAAGGAGGCUGCUGGACACGCAUAUUAGGAGGAGCAGAGGGCAAUCUAAACAGUCCGAAGAAACAAAACCUCUCCAUAGUCGUGAUGAUCAGGAGUUGCUGAGGGGAGCUCUUAAGCGGAUGAGUAGUCCCCAAAACAUUACUGAUACGUAUAACCAGAUAUUCAAGGAUUUAGAGAAGGAAAAAAGAACAGAGCACACGACCUUCCUCAAAGGCUACUGACCCAAGAAAUUGUAGCAAGCAGGAACAGAUUAUCCAAGAGCUGAAAACAGAGCCAUCGAAGGUAAUAAAAGAAACUGAGACAGAAAAUGAGUUUUCUCUUUUCUCUUCUCAAUCUGAACUUCUUGUAAAUAAAACCUGUGAUGAACUAACUUGUUUUGAUCCGGUGCAUCCGAGUAGCCUUGUUUCAGUGUCUCAGGUCUUAGAAGAAAACUCAGCAGAAGAAGCACAAAAGAGUUCACCACCAGAAGAAGUGCUGGAGAAGCCAAACAACAUUGAAGCUGAAACAGAUGCUAAGUCAUUCUCUCUGAACUCUCAAGAGCACUGUAAGGAUCUUGAUAUGGUUAAUUUUGUUCCUGAAAUGUUUGUUAUGGUUAGUUCCAGUGAUGUAAAACGUUUUGGUCUUGAAAAAGUGAAAAAAUUUUGUGUCUCAAACUCUGUUAUUGAUAACAUGAUUCAUUCUUUUAA